rnacentral:rRNA from 1 species
UUGACCUCAAAUCGGGUGAGACUACCCGCUGAACUUAAGCAUAUCAAUAAGCGGAGGAAAAGAAACUAACAAGGAUUCCCCUAGUAACUGCGAGUGAAGCGGGAAAAGCUCAAAUUUAAAAUCUGGUGGCCUUUGGUCAUCCGAGUUGUAAUUUAGAGAAGCGUCUUCCGCGCUGGACCAUGCACAAGUCUCCUGGAAUGGAGCGUCAUAGAGGGUGAGAAUCCCGUCUUUGGCAUGG